UGAAGAAUGUGUUAUUUUUCUGUGCUACCCAAUAUAGACAAAACCAGGCUUAAACUCUGAGCAGGCAAACCAAGCUGGCCAGUUUUGAAAUCGCAUCACAUUUGAAGCUAUAGCCCUUGCAGAGCAUGAAGGCAGAAACUGGGGUUUUCCUGCCUGCUAUGUGCAUUCUGCUAAUGAUGAUGUUUAAUUGUGAGGAGCAUGAGCAGCACUGUUUGGAUACCAUAGCUUUUUGCAUGCCUAAAUCCACUCUUGAUUGAAGGCAUUCAGUAUAUGUUAUAAAAAUAUCCCUGUAAUUACCAGCAGCUUCCCAGCCCACUGUAAAAUCUCUGCUGCCUUGUAGGAGCAGUAUCUCUCAGCUUCUCCAGAAGGACAGGGUGCAAUUAGGUUGUCAGGUAAUUAUAAUUAUUCUAAUGAGGAGGUGGUUUGAGGGAAGUGAGUUUGGCAGCUGGGUGGUGUCCAGCCCAGGUGGGCUGUUGUGGCAAGCAAUGUUAUGAUCUUUCCUGGCAGGGAUGGUACAGGUUUUCUGCUUGCUGUUGGGUGCUGCAUCAACAAACACAGCCCAAGCCUACUACACUUGUGCCUUGGGUUGCUUUCAGAAAGGAAAUGCCGUAGCUGCACGGUUUCCUUUCAUCUCUGACAUUCUACCUCAACUGUAUUGCAGAGGAUAUCUAUCCUCAUUGUGGAUGGUUGAACUGCACUGGAGAAGCCAAAUUGUUAUCGUACACUAAAGGCCACAAGGUCUACGUUGAAUUCUGAAGAACAAAAUGUGGGUGGAGAAUGGGAUGAAGGUGGAUCUGAUCUGACUGCACAUUAGGUGGUCGUGGCUGGUGUUGCAAGGGGAAGCAUCAGGCAGAAGAGGUGGUUUCUCCUGGAGCUCCCAAGUUUUCAGUCGCAGGGGCUGUCUUAUUUCAGAUUUCUGUGAAUGACCCAAAAAACUAGAAGAGCAACACUGAGGUGUCUGGAUGAGGCAGAGGAGGACAGUACAGAGGAGGUUAUAGUUGUAAAAAAAUAAUUGGAUGACCUGGAAGAUGGGAGCCACAACCAUGGUAUGAAGCACAUCAGCAUAAAACACAAGGUCUUUGAGACUGAGGAGUGACAAGAUAUGACAAAAUAGGACUUCGCAUUGUCUGGGAGUGACAGAGAAGGGCUUUGGACUAGCCACUGAUCUCACACAGUACCUGAAUGCUGCCAAGCAAAAGGUGGCUGCACCCUGAGGGAAUUCUCAGGACAAGGCCUCUCCAUUGACCUUAAAACCCUCAGGACAAGAGCAACCAAGACCUCUUCUGGAACAGUGGGUACAACUCUGAUCAUCCUUUCCCCAUAAAAAUUCAGAGUAGAGUGAAUGUAAAGCAAAUCCACCAUCCUGGUUGCUCCACGCGUGAAAUGGGUGUGAGGGCCAGACGUGGUUGUCCUUCUCACGUCUUGGUUUUUCAACAUGGCAGAGACAGGCUCUGAGCUUGGCUUCCACCUCUACCCAGUAGAAGAAAAUGUUCUCCUCCUUUUUGCCUCCUAAUGAUGAUGAUGACCAUUCACCUCUUGUUUUGUAUGUGUCCUUUGCUAUGAAAGACUGUCCUUGUACUCGGUGCUUAUGUUCCUAACCCUUGGCUUGGAAAGGGUACACCGGCCAACUGGACAGUCAUUCAUUUCGAUGAGAGGCUGUCUGUUCUGCAAUUAAUAGACAAAAUGCCCACCACUGUGGUUGAAAAGAAGUUUUAAUUAAAAUCCCUUGAUAUUGGCCUUCCCUAGACAGUGAAGUGAAUAGGAAGAGGGCAGAAGGCCCAGGUCGGUGUCUUUGGUCACCCUAGGAGAAGAGUGUCUGCUGAGCUGAGACUGAACACGAGGAAGAACCUGGUUUAUAAUUGCAUGGGCUUAUUUUUUUUCCCCUCAAGUGACCUGCCCAAUGGACAAUUGCAAGCUGAUAGGAGCGCAGAUACUGCCAACCAAAAGCUGGGAUAGGUCCACAGGUCGUUUGAGUCCUAAUGAGAAACAAUGAAUAGAAGCUCACAUCACACGAGUGAAAAACACCUCAUCCUCUUCUCUAAUGAGCAGAGCGUACCAAAUGUUUCUGUCUUGGGCUUUGCUUGGCUUUCAGAGGUGCCUAGAGCUGCAUCUUCCAGGCUGGCUCCCAAGCUGUUGUCACUCACCCCAUCUUCUCUCUGAUGGCCACCAGGAAGGUACCUUGCUCUGCUGGCUGGCCAAGGCGAACCUGCAGUGGUUUAUGAUAGUGGCAUGGGUUUAAUUUUGUGCUGUCAAGCUUUGUGGGAGCGCUGAACAGCUUUGGAGUUUCUCAGCCGGUGCUGGUGGAGACAUCAUCCAGGGUGAAGAAAGCUGGGGCCUGAGGGCAUGGAGCAACUCCAGAAGUCCAGUGGCAGUUCUCCUGCACCAGAUGCCAGGGACAAAGAUGCAGCUGAGCAUGUGAAACAACAUGUAUUGCAGCUCUCAAGGGAUACGGGCAUUGCUGGGUGAGUGGGACCACCUCAGCUGUGGUGGAUCUUCCCUCCAUGAGGCUGUGUUAUAGAUAAAUGGGUGUUAUUUCUUGAAAUUAAUUUGUGGUCUUUUUCUCCUGUGCCUUUCCCUCGUCUGCUUCUCAGCAUCUGUCCUGCUCACUGACUCCACUGAAUUAUAUCAGGGCACAGGUAUCUGGGGUGAAAAGUGUACAUCUUGCAUGGACAGCUAGCACCAUCAUCGCUUCCUGGCUCUGCACACAUCCAGCACACAGCCAGAGGAACAGCAGGGAAGUUUCAAAGCCCCAAGCUUUAACCCUUACACCCAUUUCUGAAUGACAGCCAUGGGCAUGAUCCCUGCAAGGCACAAAGAAAGAUUGGAAUAAGGAUGUUGGCUCUGUCCCAUUGGCCUGGAAACUGCUGUUCACAGCUAUGACAAUGAGUCUAAGUUAUGGGAUAAACAGGAUCGGGAGAAGCUGAUCGGUGGAGAGAGAUCUCAUCAGUGUCUGCCAGGCCUUUGCCAGGAACUGGAAGCAAGAUAAGAUCAAAGGUAUCUGCUGCACCUUCGCUGCACCAGUUUCUCAUCUCCAUCCCAGUUCUCUUGCAAAGCAAAUCGGAAGCUGGACAAGCAGCUUUCCACAAAGGUGGGUGUGAAAAGGCAGAAAGUUGAGCUAUAAAGGAAGGAGGGAGCCAGGGGCAGAACAGUCUUCUCCUACCCUAAAUCAGAUUGCUCCCUGUCAGUGUUACAGGGCUAUGGCAUCUUAGGGUCUAUUGUUCUGUCUCAGAUGAAGGGUGAUGUCUCCCUGCAAGUUGUCAAGGCUGUAGCACCAACGAACCCAGCAGAAAAGGGCAAGCAGAGGCCUUGAGAGGGAGAUAAGUGGUGGAGGGAUAAUUCUGACUGGAAAACGGCUGCUAUUGGAGGUAUCUCUGCUGCUUCACUCUGCCUGACGUGCUCCAGCCCUCGGAUCAUCCAUGUAGCCCUCCUCUGGACCCAUUCCAACAGUUUGAUCUCCUUCUCGUGUUGAGUAUCGUGCACGGCUGGAGCUGUCUGUGUGCUGGGCAGUCCCUGUCCCAAAGAAACUUGCCUGGAGGCAAAAUGAAUCACCUGAAGGCUCAGUCUUGUGCAGUGGCCAAGGUAAGGACCCUGGUUGAACAAGCACGUGGAGCUUCUACGUUCUUACUGCAGCCACAGAACGUGUGGGAAGGCUUGCAGAGCUCCCACUGACUUGGUUCCUGCCAUGCUGCCCCAAAACCACAACCCCAGCAAAAGAAAAAACAGCUCUUUCCUUGGUAUCUGUUUAUUUACAGGUGGAAGCUGGAUGAGCAAAGGCAUUUACUCCAUUGCUUGGAGACCUUGGGCAUCUUCCAGCCCCAGCGUACAGCAGGGACCAACCUGCUCUGCAAACCCACAACUGACCCUCCAGCAUGGGGACAAGGAGUCCUAAAUAAGCUCUUCAGAAGUAAUGAGGAACUCCAGCACAUGCACUAAAAAUAAGGAAACAGCAGGCUGAGCUGGGAGGCUCCCGUGAGUCCAGGCUGACUGAGCCCUGAUUUGUGGUCUGACCUCAGCCGCACUCAUUGAACUCCUUGGGCCGUGGCUCGUCUGGCUGGAAAACUGAGUAGAGUAAAAAGCGAGACGUCAAAGCUAAGCGUAGCUUUUCCUUCUGCAGAUAAAUCACUAGGAGAUGAGGAAAUUGGCUGUGUUUGUUUGCAAACAGCUUGCUUUUAGCGUGCCAAGCCUGCCUGCAGAGAGUGGCUGCGCCAGGCAGGUCGCACAGUUGGGAUGGGAGGAUGUGCAAACCAUCGUGUUGCCCUUGUUCUGCUGAUGGAGAGUUAGCCCAAAGAUCCUGUCCACAACAGCACGGUGGUACCCAGGGACAGGGAGUGGAGUGCAAACCACCAAUGUGUAAAGGAUGGAGGUAUGAACUGGUGAAAGAGGGGAGAUUUAGAUUAGAUCUUAGGAAGAAAUGUUUCCCUGUGAGGGUGAUGAGGUGCUGGCACAGCUUGCCCAGAGAAGUUGUGGCUGCCCCAUCCCUGGAGGUGUUCAAGGCCAGGUUGGACGAGGCUUUGAGCCUGUGAUCCAGUGGGAGGUGUCCCUGCCCAUGGUAGGGGGCUAGCAACUGGAUGGGCUUUGACGUCCCUUCUAACCCUAACCAUUCUAUGAUAUUCACGUAGCAAAUGUCUGUGUCAUAAAGAGUUUAUCUAGAUGCAAAUUUGGCACCUGCUAGGCUUGAGCCAGGGUAUCUCAGUUAUUAAGUGCUUAACAGAGAAAGCUCAAGGGGACACAGGAAUAACUACACCCUACUCAUCCCCAUUUUCCUUGUGGCUCCAGGCAGCAGGAGCAGAGUUUGCUGUAGCUUCUGUUCCCAUAUAUUCUGGAGCUGAAGCUGUAAAAACAGGCAGAGGAUGACUACACCACACACUUGCAAGCACUGAGGAAUGAUGCGGAUGUGAGAAGAAGAAGAAAAACUUGCUCAUUUAGUGUUUUUCUGCCUGCCUGCCAGAACUGCAUCUGCUCUUCAGCUGACGCAGUGUGAGACCACGAGCUGGCUAUUAGAUGAGAAAAAUGCAAGUAAUUCUUGUCACGUGGAGGAAGGGGGAGCAGAGACCCACCCCGAUGGCCCUUCGGAGCUGAAAACUGAUUCUCGUGUCCAUCGGCUGCUAUGUUCAAGAUAACAAUGUAUGGAUUUUUUGUUUUCUUUUUAAAGUUUUUCCUAAAACUUUCAUAAUUUGAGAAGUUAACCAACAUGGCCAAACCAAGCUGAUGGUCUGUUGUGGAGGUAGAAAGGAGGGAAGAGCAUGAGCAGAUAUGAUCCCUUGCAGCAUCUUGGAGGCACCUGGGUUCAUGGCAAAACUCUUCAGGAGGCCCUCAGGACCUUCCAGAUGCUGGGGUGCUGCUGCCCUUUCCCCCUUCUUUCUUCCCAGCUCUCAGCACCACCUCUUCUGAGAGCUGGGACAGUUUAAACCCAUUUAUUUGAAGCCAGGGAGAGAGAGGAAGGAGGAGAAAUACAAUUACUGUGUCAGAGAUAUAUCUCCUGCAAGGUUCCUGGUGCACAGAAUGUCUGCUGAAACAAAAAUCAUCAUUUGUCUAGCCCUGAUAAUUUCAUGAAGAGCUCUGGAUCCAGGGGUGAAAUACAGUUGUUCCCAAGGAGGUGCCUGCAUUUUGACAGCUGCCAGAGAUGGUUAUUAUGCAUGGGAUGAGCGGGGUUCUGCUUUGCUCAGUGCUGCAGGAUGGACCCCAGCAGCUCAAGGCACGCCCCAAAAUGGGCCCUUUUGUUAUACCCACCCCGGGGCGAUGGCGCUGGGGGAGCUCAGUGUGAGCCUGGUUUGCAGUUGUUAUAGAAUCAUAGAAUGGUUUGGAUUGGAAGGGAUCUUGAAGCCCACCCAGUUUCGAGUCCCCUGCCAUGGGCAGGGACACCUCCCACUGAAUCAGGGGGCUCAAAGCCUCAUCCAACCUGGCCUUGAACACCUCGAGGGAUGAGGCAGCCACAACUUCUCUGGACAACCUGUGCCAGUGCCUCGUUACCCUCACAGGAAAACAUUUCUUCCUAAGAUCUAAUCUCAAUUUUAUCUCUUUCAGCAGAAAACCAUCCCCCCUCAUCCUGUCACUCCACGCCCUUGUAAAAAGUCCCUUCCCAGCUUUCUUGUAGCCCCUUUCAGGUACUAGAAGGCUGCUCUGAAGUCUUCUGGGAGCCUUCUUUUCUCCAGGCUGAACAACCCCAACUCUCUCGGCCUGUUCUUGUAUGGGACGUGCUCAACAGUUGAAUCAUCUUUGUAGCCUCCUCUGGACCUGUUUCAACAGCUCCAUAUCCUUCUUCUGUCGAGGAUUCCAGAACCAGACACAAUCCUCUAGGUGAGGUCUGACAAGAGAGGAACAGAGGGUCAGAAUCCCCUCCCUCGCCCUGCUGGCCACGCUGCUUUGGAUGCAGCCCAGGACACGUUGGCCUUCUGGGCUGUGAGCGCACACUGCCGGCUCAUGUCGAGCUUCUCACCGACCAGCACUCCCCCAAAGUCCUUCUCUUCAGGGCAGCUCUCAAUCUCAUCAUCCCCCAUCCUGUAUUGAAACUCAGGAUGGCCCCAACCCAGGUAUAGGACCUUGUACUUGGCCUUGUUGAUUCUCAUGAGUUUCUCACAGCCCCACUUCUCCAACUUGUCCAGGUCCCUGUGCGUGACAUCCUGGGCUUGCUUCUCAGUUUCUAAUCCCAAGGAGUAAGCUGGGAGUAUUUGGAGACUGGGAGACAGAAGGACAUAUGGCUCUGAACUGAGCUGUGUCUUUGUCAUGUGUUUUAAAUUGCAUUAAAAAAGAUGAUGUUCAAUAAUAAAUUAUAGCAUUUAAUUAGGAGGAUCCCAACGCCUGCUGUGCUCUGGUUUGGCCUGGGGGAGGGAAUGGAGCUGGGAGCUGUAAGAGGGAUAUAACAAGCAGUAAAAUAUAAUCCUGGGAUUACAGGCAGCAAUUAGCACUGUAUGUUCAUGUCACCCCACGCUCCUGGCCUGCGGGCUUUGGGGUGCAAUACAGGGGCCAGAGCAUGUCUACAGGUCUUACGAGGAGCGGCUGAGAGAGCUGGGGUUGUUUAGCCUGGAGAAGAGGAGGCUGAGGGUGACCUUAUUGCUCUCUACAACUACCUGAAAGGAGGUUAUAGAGAGGAGGGAGCUGGGCUCUUCUCCCAAGUGACUGAGGACAGGACAAGGGGGAAUGGCCUCAAGCUGCACCAGGGGAGGGUCAGACUGGAUAUCAGGAAAAAACUUUUCACAGAAAGGAUCAUCGG